UCUUGAACAAAUAUCUCACCACUUGUUCUCCCACUUGCAAUUCACGUUCCUCUCCAUUUUUAUAUUCCCUUCACUUUUUCAUUUUCUGCAGCAUCCUCACGUUCUCCUCAACAUCACUUUCUUCUUACUUUCCCCGGACUAAAACCCACUUCUUCCUCUUCCUUAGUUGCAUGAUUGCAGCACCAUCUUCCUCUUUUUCUCCUUCUUCCCAUCACGUUGCAGCACCCACACUCACCACAUGAGCCACCACCUUCACGUUUUCUUCCUCUCCAUGGCAGCACCUCACCAUCACCACCGCCCCUCCUCCUCACCAUGGCUGUUAUGUCUAGCCAAGAGGCCACCACAAUCACGUUCCUCUUCUUUCUCUCCUUGGCCACCACGAGGAGGCCAGCACCACAAGGAACACGUACAGCCCCAUUCAUCAUAUGGUAUUGUUCAAGCUUCAUCAUCCAUAUCAUGACAAGGAGACACCAUCACCAUGCCACUUUACUUCCUCAUGUAGUAAAACCUUUUUCUUUGCUAUCUCUGAUUGAUAAACUUCAUUUACAUGCUUCAAAAUUCUUAGAACAAGAUCUGAUCAUUUCAUGAAAUAGGGAUUUAAGCUCCUUCACCAUCAUCUUCUCAUUUUCCUUGGUAAAAGCCUUAAUUUCUUGAUUAGUAUGUAUGUAUAUUUGAUUUCAAAAUUUAUCUGGGGUUUAGAUGAAUCAAAAUGGUUUGAGAUAGUGUUAUGGUGCUGAGAACAUGUUGGAAAUUUCAAAACGACGUUCUGUUAUGAAUUCCGUCACAAACAUCAGUUUUUCCGUCACAAAGCUCAGUUUUUCCGUCACUAACAGAACCUGCAGGGGACCAUUUCCUGUUUCGGUUCUCCAACUUGAAAAUUGCAUAACUCUCUCAUCUUUUAUCCGUUUUAGGUGUAAGACCACUUUUUAGAAAGCCCCAAGAGUCUACUUUAAUAUAAAAUAUAUUUGAAACUCUUUCUACUGCUAAUUGGCUGAAGAAAAUUUAUAUUUCUAAUGUAGUAUGUUUUACUAAUCUCUUUAUAAAGGUUGUUGUGGUUGAGUAGAGUUUCAUGUUAAUGUAUUAAGUUUUCUAAAAAAUUGUUUUCUUUGAGUUAAGUGGUUUUGGGGUUUUAAGGAUUUUGUUUUAAGCCUUAAUUAGUUGUUUUAAGUGCUAAAAAUAGCUUUGAAAUAGAUUUGGCGAAAAAGGAAAAUUUGUACAUGGUUAUGUAGGUGUGGCCGAGACUAUGGUACGUGCUUUGGGUUUGGAAAAUUACUUCUGAACUUGUUUUUCUUUAAUGCAAAAUCCUAAGUUAAGUUUGAGGACUAAAAGUUUAUUGUGGGAAAACUUUGGACUUAAGACACAAGAGGUUGAAGAGUUUUGGGUUAAACUUGAGUUUUAAAAGUCUUGGGGUUUGUUUGAUAAAUUUAUUAAAGAUUGAGGGUUGAAAAAAAAACUUACUCUUAGAUGAGGACCUUUGCGUGAUUAUGUGUUUGUCAAGGGACUAGGGUUGAAUUACUUAAAAGUUGAGGAGUUGUUUUCCUAAUGUGCUUUUGAAGGACCGUUCUUUAACUCGCAAAUGUCUUAUCUUUGGACUUUAGUCCUUGAAACAUAAAGCAUAUGCAUUAAACUAAGUGAGUUAGAAUGAUUAGCUAAACUUAUUUUGAAACUUUAGAUAUGACCUUAGAGGCUAAGGUUUAGCAUAUGUACUUAUGAAGGGUACGAACAACGAGAACGCUUGGCGACGAAACGAAAGAACUAAAAAGGAAGCGAGCCGGCACCGGGAAGCAAGGAUGUGAUUGGAUUGGAGUUGCAGUUUAGGAAGGGAAUUGACUAAGGCGAUGGAGAAUCUUCGAUGGAGCAUGACCUUCGUACGAGUCGAAGAGGAGAACUUGAAGAACUGUGGAUGACUCGAAGAAUAGAGUCGGGUGUAGGGCUAGAGUCUUGGGUUAGAAAGCUAACCGUUAUUGGUUUAAGCUUGCAUAAUGAUUUUAGAAAUUUAUAUUUGGGGUUUCGGGUACUCGCCUUGCUCAAGGUUUAACUGUAAAUUUAUUUACAUUUAGGAGUAUGCAUGACAUGUUUUGGAAAUACUUCGAAAAGAAAAUAAUAUACGCAUGUUUAUAAAUCCUUUUGAAAAA